CAUAUAGUAACUACUUAAUAAAUGCUUACUGACUGACAGAUGAGAAAUAUCUUUCACACCUCCAUCCAAGAAACUCUUGAUUGUUAGGUAUUUAACCUCAGAAGAUGGUUCAGAGAAAUCCAAGUGUUUUCAAUUACUCCAACCCACUAUAACCUGCAUAGCAUUUUCAGAAAGGGCACACACAAACUCCCAAGAGCUCAUGAUAUCCUUGAUAUCCUUUUCCGCUAUCGUCUAAUUGGGGAGGGAGGAUACUGCAUCCCGCAGUGUGCCUCCGAGGUCCCUCCUACUUCCUGGUGUGGGAUUGGUCUUGAAUGGACCAAUCCCAUGCUGGGGGGAGGCACCACACCCCCCUACUUCGGUGUGGGAUUGAUCUUGAAUUGGACCAAUCCCAUGCUAGAGGGGCCACGCCCCUUACUUCUGGGCAUGGGAUUGGCUGAGGAACUCUAAGAUGCAGUUCCCCCCCACACACAUUUUGAAACUCACAACCCCCAAAGCCUAGCCAUCAACUGCUUUCUUAUCAACUAUACUUUUUAAUAAUCACACCCAAAGCUUCCUCUGGGAAAGAGUGCAAUCACCUUCUGCCUAUUCCUCCUCCUCCUUUCUAUAGCACCUAUUUGCAUAACAAGUAUUUUCCCAAACCACAGCUGCCCUAAUUGCCUGCUCAAAUUACAUCAGUUGAUUAGCCCACACCUAUAAUAUUGUAUGACUGGAGGUGGGGAAGAGGCCCUGGAAGGGGAAGGAGAAGAACCAAACCAUGAGUAAGCCCAUUCAGGAGAGGUUUCACCCAAAAGGAAAAAGAAAGCGCUAAGAGUUCCUGCAGGAAGUACCACAAGAAUAUGGUCUUCAACUGAGCACUUCUUUUAUGCCUAAUACCCACCAUUCUACACCCCAGGAAUAUAAAGACAAGGAAAAAAAUGAAACAAUUGUUACAUUCAGGAAGCUUACCUUUAUUAGGGAAGACCAACAGUCUGAAGAGCAAACGUUUUGAUAGAGAAAACAGAAGAAAGAAGAAUUGAGACUGCUUUCAUUCUAUUGUGUGUAACACCUAGAGAAGUCUUGGAAGUUCCCUCUGUCAAAGAAAUCACAGGUCUAGUUUCUAUCUCUUUGUAUGUAAAAAAUUCUUAACAAGUUUUAUUAUAUUUGUAUAAAGAUA